GCGGUGUAGCCCAGUUGGUUAGAGCGACCGGCUCAUACCCGGUAGGUCGAGGGUUCAAGUCCCCCCGCCG
rnacentral:tRNA from 1 species